AUAGUAGGUCGGUUUGUCGCUUUUCCCUUGUGGAAUGGAGGAAAGUCCGGGCAACGCAGAGCACCAUAUUUCCUAACGGGAAGCUGUUUGUGAGGGCAGAGUAGCGUAACAGAAAAUAACCGCUCCGGUUUUCCGGAGUAAGGGUGAAAAGGGGAGGUAAGAGCUCACCGGUUUGAGUGGCAACAUUCAAAGCCGUACGUCUUAUGGGUUGCAAGAUCAUGUAUACCGACGCAUGUAGGGUGGCUCGCCCGAUGUCGGGGGGUAGAUUGCUAAAGGCAAAUGGUGACAUUUGUUCGAGAUAAAUGACAAACGCUUUGCGCAGGCAAAGUACAGAACCCGGCUUACAGACCUGCUAUUUUU
rnacentral:RNase_P_RNA from 1 species